GGGGAUGUAGCUCAGUGGUAGAGCGCAUGCUUUGUAUGUAUGAGGUCCUGGGUUCAAUCCCUGGCAUCUCCA
rnacentral:tRNA from 1 species